rnacentral:rRNA from 1 species
ACGCUCGACACCUACGGGAGGCAGCAGUGAGGAAUAUUGGUCAAUGGGCGCUAGCCUGAACCAGCCAAGUAGCGUGAAGGAUGAAGGCUCUAUGGGUCGUAAACUUCUUUUAUAUAAGAAUAAAGUGCAGUAUGUAUACUGUUUUGUAUGUAUUAUAUGAAUAAGGAUGGCCCCUAAUCCGUGCCACAGCCGCGGUAACUGAGCGGGCUGGCAAGGC